ensembl:lncRNA LOC120100623 uncharacterized LOC120100623
GUCUCUUCCUUUGGUUUUCUAUAUCCAGGGUUGUCUCCCUUUUUGCUUUCUUUAUUGUUUCUCUUUCCAUUUUCAAUUCCUUCACUGGUUUUAUUGUGUUUUCCUGGAAUUCUUUCAGAGAUUUUUGUGAUUCCUCUCUAUAGGCUUCUACUAGUUUAUUUAUGUUUUCCUCCGUUUCUCUAAGGGAGUUCUUUAUGUCUUUCUUGAAGUCCACCAUCAUCAUGAUCAAAUGUGAUUUAAAAUCAAGAUCUUGCUUUUCAGCCAGUUAUGGGAACAGAGUCUUCUGCUUUCAGUUGUGCAGUCAUUCCUGUCCACUAGCUUUCAGCUGUUCCUGUGGACGUGUGUCCUGAGACCACCAGGCAGGUCACUUGGAGCAGAAAAGUUGGUCUUACCUCUGGUCUCUGGCCUGAAGUCACUCUUUGGGGCUUGGUUUCAACUCUCC